CGACGUAGGCGGCCUGGUCAGCCGGAUGUGAAAGCCCCGGGCUUAACCUGGGAAUUGCAUUCGAUACUGCCAGGCUGGAGUGUAGUAGAGGGAAGCGGAAUUCCGGGUGUAGCGGUGAAAUGCGUAGAGAUCCGGAGGAACAUCAGUGGCGAAGGCGGCUUCCUGGACUAACACUGACGCUGAGGUGCGAAAGCGUGGGGAGCAAACA
rnacentral:rRNA from 1 species